AGAGUUUGAUCCUGGCUCAGGAUGAACGCUGGCGGCGUGCCUAAUACAUGCAAGUCGAGCGAACGGACGAGAAGCUUGCUUCUCUGAUGUUAGCGGCGGACGGGUGAGUAACACGUGGAUAACCUACCUAUAAGACUGGGAUAACUUCGGGAAACCGGAGCUAAUACCGGAUAAUAUUUUGAACCGCAUGGUUCAAAAGUAAAAGACGGUCUUGCUGUCACUUAUAGAUGGAUCCGCGCUGCAUUAGCUAGUUGGUAAGGUAACGGCUUACCAAGGCAACGAUGCAUAGCCGACCUGAGAGGGUGAUCGGCCACACUGGAACUGAGACACGGUCCAGACUCCUACGGGAGGCAGCAGUAGGGAAUCUUCCGCAAUGGGCGAAAGCCUGACGGAGCAACGCCGCGUGAGUGAUGAAGGUCUUCGGAUCGUAAAACUCUGUUAUUAGGGAAGAACAUAUGUGUAAGUAACUGUGCACAUCUUGACGGUACCUAAUCAGAAAGCCACGGCUAACUACGUGCCAGCAGCCGCGGUAAUACGUAGGUGGCAAGCGUUAUCCGGAAUUAUUGGGCGUAAAGCGCGCGUAGGCGGUUUUUUAAGUCUGAUGUGAAAGCCCACGGCUCAACCGUGGAGGGUCAUUGGAAACUGGAAAACUUGAGUGCAGAAGAGGAAAGUGGAAUUCCAUGUGUAGCGGUGAAAUGCGCAGAGAUAUGGAGGAACACCAGUGGCGAAGGCGACUUUCUGGUCUGUAACUGACGCUGAUGUGGAAAGCGUGGGGAUCAAACAGGAUUAGAUACCCUGGUAGUCCACGCCGUAAACGAUGAGUGCUAAGUGUUAGGGGGUUUCCGCCCCUUAGUGCUGCAGCUAACGCAUUAAGCACUCCGCCUGGGGAGUACGACCGCAAGGUUGAAACUCAAAGGAAUUGACGGGGACCCGCACAAGCGGUGGAGCAUGUGGUUUAAUUCGAAGCAACGCGAAGAACCUUACCAAAUCUUGACAUCCUUUGACAACUCUAGAGAUAGAGCCUUCCCCUUCGGGGGACAAAGUGACAGGUGGUGCAUGGUUGUCGUCAGCUCGUGUCGUGAGAUGUUGGGUUAAGUCCCGCAACGAGCGCAACAAUGCCACAUCAUAGCACUACAUCAAGACGCAUCGUGGUACCAGCA
rnacentral:rRNA from 1 species